rnacentral:rRNA from 1 species
AGAGAGAGACAUGCGCGCAUAUCAAUAAGCGGAGGAAAAGAAACUAACAAGGAUUCCCCUAGUAACGGCGAGUGAAGCGGGAAGAGCUCAAAUUUGAAAUCUUAAAGGGUUUCCCUUUACGAAUUGUAGUUUAAAGAAGUGUUUUCUGUUGAGGUUUUGGUAAAAGUUCUUUGGAAUAGGACAUCAUAGAGGGUGAGAAUCCCGUAUUUGACCUUUACUUUCAACUUUGUGAUACACUUUCAAAGAGUCGGAUUGUUUGGGAAUGCAGUCCAAAAUGGGUGGUAAAUUUCAUCUAAAGCUAAAUAUUGGCGAGAGACCGAUAGCGAACAAGUACCGUGAGGGAAAGAUGAAAAGAACUUUGAAAAGAGAGUUAAACAGUACGUGAAAUUGUCAAAAGGGAAGCGUUUGACACCAGUGUUGUUUUUCUGAAAAUCAAUUAAAGAACUGUUUAUGCUAAGCUGUUUAGACUUUAUCAGCUAAUCUGUUUAGUUUUGAGCUUUUCUUUAAUGCACUUUUCAGUUAACAAGUCAACAUCAAUUUCUUUUGCUGUAAAAAAGCUUGAGGAAGGUGGCUUGAGAUUCGUCUUAAGUGUUUAUAGCCUCUUGCCUAUUGCAGUCGGAGAGAUUGAGGUCUGCAGCGUAGAUCCUUCGGGGCUAAAUGCAUUUGUGCUAAGUUAUAGCAUUUUAUAGACAACUUGUUGACUAUGAUUUGUCUUGUAGCUUACUCGCUUAUGUUAUUUUACCUACGCUUAGGAUGUUGACGCAUGAGAUAUACGC